CCAUAAUUAUUUUCUCAAAUUUUAAAUGUUUAAUAUGUAUUUGGAUUAUCGAAAUAUGGAUAAUGCAGAAGAUAUGAGUUGGGUCAAUGUGAGAUGACUUGUAAGUUGUGGGAGUUGAUGAUGUAGUUAUAUACUUGAAGGGUGUGUGUGUGAAUUGGCCUAUAUAAGGAUCAAAAUAUCAGGGAAGAUUAUUUUCUUCCCCCGUACGCCUCUCUCUCUCCCGUUCUCUCCUCUCUCUCGGCUCUCACCUCUCUCACCUUCUCUCUUCGAUUUCAUCGACCGCGAGUGAGACUUUUGAAAAAUAUCAAGUACUAAAGUUGUUCUACGCGACGAGAGCUUCCUAUCCAUCGAAGAAAAUUCACGAUCGGAGCACUUCGAAGUUUCCUCCAUGUUCGGGCUUGCUUCUAACCUUCGAGGAAGUUCGAGUCGUCACGUGGAUCGAGGUGAGUGAUUUAAUACUUAAACACAUGGUUUUGAAUUUGUUUUUCUUAUCGAGCUUAUUUGAACAUGUUUUAUAAAUUAUGUACUCCAUGGAUAACAAUGAAAGGUGGACUUAUUUGUGAAAUAUUUGCGAAUCUAUUUAAUGGCAUUCCCAACGUCCGGUCUUGCUAGGGGACGGCUUAAUGGCUAGCAAGGGUGUUUGAGGUUGGUGUGUGUUUUGGGAUAAUGCAUAGACGUCUGGCUUAUCCACUACCGGGGACGCCUGGUAGCUUUUGAAUUUUGAAUAGCGGAAUGUGCAUUAUAUUUGGCUUAUGAUUUUGAGUUCUUUGUUUUGAAAUAUUAUCAAAUUAUUUUGCAUUGUCCAUGGAAGGCAUGUGAGUUAAGUAUUAAUCAUUCACACGAGCUUUGGCUUAAGUAUUUUCUUUUCCACCUUUCAGGAAGCGACGCGUAGUGUGGCAGAGUGUUUACUUUAGUUUGUAAAUUUGUAGUGAGAAAUCACUGGCAUUUGUCAUGAUUAAGACCUCGAGGGGCGGGUCAGGGUCGUGACAGAUCAAUUCUUGCAAACGGUUCAAGCAAACCAGGCUGCUGAUGAUGAAUCAAUGACAUCAGCAAAAAGCAAUGAGGAAUAUAAUAAUCCUUUUACAUGCUUAGCAGGGGAAUCACAAGACCCCUGCGAAGAUGAUGGUACUACACCAGCACCAACUUUAGGUGACUUUUGGGACAGCAUGACUGAGAUGAUGGCAGAACAGCUGUCUUCCUGCAAAGGAAAAGAGAAAAAUCAAUAAUUCAAAAAGUCUCAAUUAUGGAGUAACUUUGAGGUCACUCAAUAAAGGAGUGGUGAUAAUUACACAGCCAGCUUUCGGUGGGAGUACUCGUGACGAUGGGGCCCAGCAUGUACCCGACAUGUAUUUCCACACAUUUUGGUUGUAAUUUCACUUUAAUUUGUAUUUCAUUUCCUGUAGAGUCCUCUAUAUAAAGCACGCGUCAGUCUUAGUAGAGGUAGGUUUUGGUUUGCCCUCUCUCUCUCUCUAAAAACCAAGCACUUUGAUCCUCUUUCCUCCCCUUUGUAAAAUUGGCUUAGGCCUUCAUAAUAAGGUCAGUUAUCUUAGA